rnacentral:tRNA from 33 species
GGGCCCGUAGCUCAGUAGGUAGAGCAGCUGACUUUUAAUCAGCGGGUCACAGGUUCGAAUCCUGUCGGGCUCACCA